GGGCCCGCACAAGCGGCGGAGCAUGCGGAUUAAUUCGAUGCAACGCGAAGAACCUUACCAAGGCUUGACAUAUAGAGGAAAAGUGCAGAAAUGCACUCCCCGCAAGGUCUCUAUACAGGUGGUGCAUGGUUGUCGUCAGCUCGUGUCGUGAGAUGUUGGGUUAAGUCCCGCAACGAGCGCAACCCUCGUCCUAUGUUGCCAGCACGUAAUGGUGGGAACUCAUGGGAUACUGCCGGGGUCAACUCGGAGGAAGGUGGGGAUGACGUCAAAUCAUCAUGCCCCUUAUGUCUUGGGCUUCACGCAUGCUACAAUGGCCGGUACAGAGGGCUGCAAUACCGGGUGACCGGAUGCGAAUCUCUAAAGCCGAUCUCAGUUCGGAUUGGAGUCUGCAACUCGACUCUAUG
rnacentral:rRNA from 1 species